rnacentral:rRNA from 1 species
UACAGAGGUCUCAAGCGUUGUUCGGAUUCAUUGGGCGUAAAGGGUGCGUAGGUGGCGUGGUAAGUCGGGUGUGAAAUCCCCAGGCUUAACCUGGGAACUGCAUCCGAUACUGGUCGGCUUGAAUCCGGGAGAGGGAUGCAGAAUUCCAGGUGUAGCGGUGAAAUGCGUAGAUAUCUGGAGGAAUACCGGUGGCGAAGGCGCAUCCUGGACCGGCAUUGACGCUGAACAGCGAAAGCCAGGGGAGCAAACGGG